CUGGAUGAACGCUAGCUACAGGCUUAACACAUGCAAGUCGAGGGGCAGCAUGGUCUUAGCUUGCUAAGGCCGAUGGCGACCGGCGCACGGGUGAGUAACACGUAUCCAACCUGCCGUCUACUCUUGGACAGCCUUCUGAAAGGAAGAUUAAUACAAGAUGGCAUCAUGAGUCCACAUGUUCACAUGAUUAAAGGUAUUCCGGUAGACGAUGGGGAUGCGUUCCAUUAGAUAGUAGGCGGGGUAACGGCCCACCUAGUCUUCGAUGGAUAGGGGUUCUGAGAGGAAGGUCCCCCACAUUGGAACUGAGACACGGUCCAAACUCCUACGGGAGGCAGCAGUGAGGAAUAUUGGUCAAUGGGCGAGAGCCUGAACCAGCCAAGUAGCGUGAAGGAUGACUGCCCUAUGGGUUGUAAACUUCUUUUAUAAAGGAAUAAAGUCGGGUAUGCAUACCCGUUUGCAUGUACUUUAUGAAUAAGGAUCGGCUAACUCCGUGCCAGCAGCCGCGGUAAUACGGAGGAUCCGAGCGUUAUCCGGAUUUAUUGGGUUUAAAGGGAGCGUAGAUGGAUGUUUAAGUCAGUUGUGAAAGUUUGCGGCUCAACCGUAAAAUUGCAGUUGAUACUGGAUAUCUUGAGUGCAGUUGAGGCAGGCGGAAUUCGUGGUGUAGCGGUGAAAUGCUUAGAUAUCACGAAGAACUCCGAUUGCGAAGGCAGCCUGCUAAGCUGCAACUGACAUUGAGGCUCGAAAGUGUGGGUAUCAAACAGGAUUAGAUACCCUGGUAGUCCACACGGUAAACGAUGAAUACUCGCUGUUUGCGAUAUACAGCAAGCGGCCAGGCGAAAGCGUUAAGUAUUCCACCUGGGGAGUACGCCGGCAACGGUGAAACUCAAAGGAAUUGACGGGGGCCCGCACAAGCGGAGGAACAUGUGGUUUAAUUCGAUGAUACGCGAGGAACCUUACCCGGGCUUAAAUUGCAGAUGAAUUACGGUGAAAGCCGUAAGCCGCAAGGCAUCUGUGAAGGUGCUGCAUGGUUGUCGUCAGCUCGUGCCGUGAGGUGUCGGCUUAAGUGCCAUAACGAGCGCAACCCUUGUUGUCAGUUACUAACAGGUCAUGCUGAGGACUCUGACAAGACUGCCAUCGUAAGAUGUGAGGAAGGUGGGGAUGACGUCAAAUCAGCACGGCCCUUACGUCCGGGGCUACACACGUGUUACAAUGGGGGGUACAGAGGGCCGCUACCACGCGAGUGGAUGCCAAUCCCAAAAACCUCUCUCAGUUCGGACUGGAGUCUGCAACCCGACUCCACGAAGCUGGAUUCGCUAGUAAUCGCGCAUCAGCCACGGCGCGGUGAAUACGUUCCCGGGCCUUGUACACACCGCCCGUCAAGCCAUGGGAGCCGGGGGUACCUGAAGUGCGUAACCGCGAGGAGCGCCCUAGGGUAAAAC
rnacentral:rRNA from 1 species